UACGUAGGGUGCAAGCGUUGUCCGGAAUUAUUGGGCGUAAAGAGCUCGUAGGCGGUUUGUCGCGUCUGCUGUGAAAACUCAGGGCUUAACCCUGAGCCUGCAGUGGGUACGGGCAGACUAGAGUGUGGUAGGGGAGAUCGGAAUUCCUGGUGUAGCGGUGGAAUGCGCAGAUAUCAGGAAGAACACCCGUGGCGAAAGCGGCUCUCUGGAACGGUACUGACGCUGAGACGCGAAAGCGUGGGGAGCGAACAGG
rnacentral:rRNA from 1 species